rnacentral:rRNA from 1 species
GUAGGGGGCAAGCGUUAUCCGGAUUUACUGGGUGUAAAGGGAGCGUAGACGGCACGGCAAGCCAGAUGUGAAAGCCCGGGGCUCAACCUCGGGACUGCAUUUGGAACUGCUGAGCUAGAGUGUCGGAGAGGCAAGUGGAAUUCCUAGUGUAGCGGUGAAAUGCGUAGAUAUUAGGAGGAACACCAGUGGCGAAGGCGGCUUGCUGGACGAUGACUGACGUUGAGGCGCGAAAGCGUGGGGAGCAAACAGGAUUAGUUACCCUGGUAGUCCACGCUGUGAACGAUGGAUACUAGGUGUGCGGGGACUGACCCCCUGCGUGCCGCAGUUAACACAAUAAGUAUCCCACCUGGGGAGU